GGUCUGAUGCCACGUCUCUGAUAGCUAUAUGUUCUGAUCAAAGAUGCUAUGAUUGGACCAAAAUUAAUAGUGCUUUUCAUUUGUUUCGCAUUCUGAUAGGAAUCUGCUUAUCUUAUUUACUAUGAUUUUGCAGAGCCGAUUUGUGUGAUUACAUUU